CACUUAGCAAUAUUCAUUGAAGAUUCAUCCAUGUCUUCAAUGGCAUGAUAGUGCAUUUCUUUCUAUUGAUGCAUAGUGUUCCAUUGUAUGGAUGUACCACAGUUAAUUUCUUCAUUCACCUUUUGACAGAUAUGAUGACUACUUCCAGUUUUUGAUGAGUAUGAACAGAACUCCCAUGACCAUUCACGUGCAGGUGUGCAAGCUUUUGUGUAGGAAGAAAUUUUCAAGUCAAUUGGGUAAAUACUCAGAAACACAAAUGAUGAGGGAUAAGAACUCUGAAAUACAAAGAACCAAAAUUAUCAACUGCAAAAUAUAUGCAUAAUUGAGGUAAUUUGUAAUUCUGGCAUUAAAAAAUACAUGUAAUAAGCUGUUUAACUUCAUUUCUAGUCUUCUAAUUAAAUAGCAAUAACCUCUUUUAAGGACGAGUUAUGAGUUCUCUUUAACUAUUUCUCCACCUCCAUCAUUGCUACUCUAGGGUUGUCUGUAUACACAAAUGUAGGGAAAACAUAGAAUUUGAGUCCUUUUGAAUGGCUGUCUUGUGAUAUAUCCCUGAUAUAUUUGUAUAAACCUGCCACCAUUUCUUGAUUUCUAAUCUAUUAGUUUCAUACUCAGAGCACUUCCAAAGUUACCAUUGAUAUGAGAGACAUAAAAGUAUCCAUAUCUAAAAUAAUCAAAUUUAUGAGUAGCUGUGUUUAAAGGCAGUUCUCCAUUGCGUUGAUCAGUGAAAAUCUGUGGGACAUUCAGCAAGCAACAUUGACUGCAUUAGCAAUGUGGGAUUCUUCUGUUAUUAGGGAGAGACACUAGAUCAUGGAAGACAGCGCCACAGACUUGCGAGGACCCUCAGGAAAAACUCAUCAAUAUUUUCAAAACACAUCACAUUCCUCUUGUGGUCCUUUGAAAUCCAUUAGCAACCUUACUAGGUUCUCUGUUCUGAAUUAUCUCCCUGUCUUAAUCCUUGACCUACUAAUGUCUCAAAAUGCAUUAAGGCAACAAUUAGUUCCUUCUCUGCUCCUCUCUUUAUGCUGAUCAGGCAUUUGGCACUCUCAUAAGCAUAAGACAACUCAUUUUUCUUCUCCUGCUUGGUAUGAUAAGGCUUUUACUCUAAAUGAGUGAAUAUAAAUUAUUGCAUGAUGUUGAACGACUUCAGUGAGACGAUGAUGGAAAUAGAGAUGGAAUAAAAGGAGGCAGAGGGAAGAAAGUUU
rnacentral:lncRNA from 1 species